GAAAAGAAACCAACAGGGAUUGCCCCAGUAACGGCGAGUGAAGCGGCAACAGCUCAAAUUUGAAAUCUGGCCCCCAGGGCCCGAGUUGUAAUUUGCAGAGGAUGCUUUUGGCGCGGUGCCUUCCGAGUUCCCUGGAACGGGACGCCAUAGAGGGUGAGAGCCCCGUCUGGUCGGACGCCUAGCCUGUGUAAAGCUCCUUCGACGAGUCGAGUAGUUUGGGAAUGCUGCUCUAAAUGGGAGGUAUAUGUCUUCUAAAGCUAAAUACCGGCCAGAGACCGAUAGCGCACAAGUAGAGUGAUCGAAAGAUGAAAAGCACUUUGAAAAGAGGGUUAAAUAGUACGUGAAAUUGUUGAAAGGGAAGCGCUUGUGACCAGACUUGGGCCCGGUGGAUCAUCCAGCGUUCUCGCUGGUGCACUCCGCCGGGUUCAGGCCAGCAUCAGUUCGCCGCGGGGGAAAAAGGCUUCGGGAACGUGGCUCCUACGGGAGUGUUAUAGCCCGUUGCAUAAUACCCUGGGGCGGACUGAGGUUCGCGCUCCGCAAGGAUGCUGGCGUAAUGGUCAUCAGCGACC
rnacentral:rRNA from 1 species